rnacentral:rRNA from 1 species
ACGCUGGCGGCGUGCCUAAUACAUGCAAGUCGAGCGAAGUUUUUCUGGUGCUUGCACUAGAAAAACUUAGCGGCGAACGGGUGAGUAACACGUAAAGAACCUGCCUCAUAGACUGGGACAACUAUUGGAAACGAUAGCUAAUACCGGAUAACAGCAUUAACUGCAUGGUUGAUGUUUAAAAGUUGGUUUUGCUAACACUAUGAGAUGGCUUUGCGGUGCAUUAGCUAGUUGGUGGGGUAAAGGCCUACCAAGGCGACGAUGCAUAGCCGACCUGAGAGGGUGAUCGGCCACACUGGGACUGAGACACGGCCCAGACUCAUACGGGAGGCAGCAGUAGGGAAUCUUCCGCAAUGGGCGAAAGCCUGACGGAGCAACGCCGCGUGAGUGAAGAAGGAUUUCGGUUCGUAAAGCUCUGUUGUUAGGGAAGAAUGAUUGUGUAGUAACUAUACACAGUAGAGACGGUACCUAACCAGAAAGCCACGGCUAACUACGUGCCAGCAGCCGCGGUAAUACGUAGGUGGCAAGCGUUGUCCGGAAUUAUUGGGCGUAAAGCGCGCGCAGGUGGCUUAAUAAGUCUGAUGUGAAAGCCCACGGCUCAACCGUGGAGGGUCAUUGGAAACUGUUAAACUUGAGUGCAGGAGAGAAAAGUGGAAUUCCUAGUGUAGCGGUGAAAUGCGUAGAGAUUAGGAGGAACACCAGUGGCGAAGGCGGCUUUUUGGCCUGUAACUGACACUGAGGCGCGAAAGCGUGGGGAGCAAACAGGAUUAGAUACCCUGGUAGUCCACGCCGUAAGCGAUGAGUGCUAAGUGUUGGUCUCAUAAGAGAUCAGUGCUGCAGCUAACGCAUUAAGCACUCCGCCUGGGGAGUACGACCGCAAGGUUGAAACUCAAAGGAAUUGACGGGGACCCGC